GACGAACGCUGGCGGCGUGCUUAACACAUGCAAGUCGAACGCUGAAGCUCAGCUUUUGUUGGGUGGAUGAGUGGCGAAAGGGUGAGUAACACGUGAGUAACCUGCCUCCUUCUUUGGGAUAACGCCCGGAAACGGGUGCUAAUACUGGAUAUUCACUGGUCUUCGCAUGGGGGUUGGUGGAAAGGGUUUUUCUGGUGGGGGAUGGGCUCGCGGCCUAUCAGCUUGUUGGUGGGGUGAUGGCCUACCAAGGCUUUGACGGGUAGCCGGCCUGAGAGGGUGACCGGUCACAGUGGGACUGAGAUACGGCCCAGACUCCUACGGGAGGCAGAAGUGGGGAAUAUUGCACAAUGGGGGCAAGCCUGAUGCAGCGACGCCGCGUGAGGGAUGGAGGCCCUCGGGUUGUGAACCUCUUUCGCUCAUGGUCAAGCCGCAACAAUGGUUGUGGUGAGGGUAGUGGGUAAAGAAGCGCCGGCUAACUACGUG
rnacentral:rRNA from 1 species